rnacentral:rRNA from 1 species
AUGGAAGCUUGCUUCCACUGAGAAGAUAGUGGCGAACGGGUGAGUAACACGUGGGUAACCUGCCCAUAAGAGGGGGAGUAACAUCCGGAAACGGGUGCUAAUACCGCAUAGUUUCUUGAUCGCAUGAUCGGGAAAGGAAAGACGGCCUUUGUGCUGUCGCUUAUGGAUGGACCCGCGGCGUAUUAGUUAGUUGGUGAGGUAACGGCUCACCAAGACGAUGAUACGUAGCCGACCUGAGAGGGUGAUCGGCCACAUUGGGACUGAGACACGGCCCAAACUCCUACGGGAGGCAGCAGUAGGGAAUCUUCCGCAAUGGACGAAAGUCUGACGGAGCAACGCCGCGUGAGUGAAGAAAAGGUUUUCGGAUCGUAAAACUCUGUUGUCAGAGAAGAACAAGUUGGAGAGUAACUGCUCCAGCCUUGACGGUAUCUGACCAGAAAGCCACGGCUAACUACGUGCCAGCAGCCGC